rnacentral:misc_RNA from 1 species
GAUGAAGAACGUAGCGAAAUGCGAUACUUGGUGUGAAUUGCAGAAUCCCGUGAACCAUCGAGUCUUUGAACGCAAGUUGCGCCUCAAGCCAUUAGGUUGAGGGCACGUCUGCCUGGGCGUCACAUAUCGUUGCCUGAUGCCAGUUUCCUCGUGAUGGGUGACUGUGCAGGGCGAAUGAUGGCUUCCCGUGAGCAUUGUUGCCUCAUGGUUGGUUGAAAAUUGAGUCCUUGGUAGGGAGCGCCGUGAUAGAUGGUGGUUGAGUGACGAACGAGACCCAAUCAUGUGUGACCCCUACCGAAUUUGGCCUUCAUGACCCACAUGCGUCUUUGGAACGCUCAUGACGAGACCUCAGGUCAGGCGGGGCUACCCGCUGAGUUUAAGCAUAUCAAUAAGCGGAGGA